rnacentral:lncRNA from 1 species
CAUCAGAUGUGCAUUGAAACCCUAUCGAACCCUUGCGUUACCAUGGUAAUCAGCCGUUAUCAACAAGGCAUGGUAGUGUAUGGAUAUAGUGGAAUUCAAGCCUUGGUUGACCUUUCUUUUGUAUUUGUCCAGUCUUGUUGAUGGUAGACAGCUGUUCCACACCUCGUACACAACAGAGAAACCCCCUCGGACGAAGAAUUCGUUCAGAUCUAAAAGGCAAGAAGACAGUUUUUGUCAUUAUUGAAAGACAUAGGAAAAAAGCAAUGACAGAAAACAAAUAUCACCAUACCGUCUUGUCUUGAAUGUUUCCAACAUCUGACAGUCCGAUGUAAGCCAGAUUCACAAGUAAGAAGUAUCUGCAGAAGAAAGAACCAAUAAUGGUAGAUCCACGACAGUCCCGGCACAAGCAAACGUGGCAUCAACACAGCCCUGACACAAGCUUUGUUGAGAUUAGAUAUAAACUAACAUGUAUAUAAUUAUACCUUCAUGUACAAAGUACACGGGCUUAUAUUGGAGUCACACAUGUCAACGGGUCUGUUCGUCCGUUCGCCUAUCUGUCCAUCAUGUCCGUUGGGAAGAUUUAAAAAAAUGGCUUCAUUUAUUAGCCUCAACAACAAUGUUCGUUGUACACAACCCAAGUUACUAGGUCCAAGGUCAGUAUUACUCUUGAAGGACAAAGUUCAAAUAACUUUAAUUUAGUGUCCGUUCCAUAUUGUGUUAACUGCAACGAAUAUUUAGGUCAAUCAUUCGUUAUUGUACUCGCCCUGCCUUCAGGGUCACCGUCACCGUUACAUUCAGGUUAAACUUUUAUAUGAUUCUCAAAGUCACUAUAUUUUCUUAACUACUGCUCAUAUUAGCAUCAAAAUUCACAUAAGUGUUGAUUGUGGUAAAACGCAGACAUUUAUUUGUUAGGGGUCAAGCAUCCAAAAGGUCAUAUUUUGUAAUUGUGCUGGUUAAAUCUUAGAUUGUUUCUUAUAUCAUCUCAUUCACCCGCCCCUACCCCUACCCCCUACCCUACCCCAAAAGGAAAAAAGAGUCUUAUUGUUUCAUCACUCACGCUUACUUAUAUCCUAUAACAAUAAAUAUUGGUCAGCAUUUCCGAAUAGUCACGCGGGCUUUCCUUACAACAGUUCUUGAUAUAAAUUAGGAUUAGUAAAUAGAUGUAAGCACUCACAACCUAGUUCAUUCGGUCAAAGGUCAAGUUCUGACUUAAAAGACCGCACCAUAUUGUCUAAUCUAAUAAAGUAAGCACUAACUGUCAAUUCCAUCUAGCCACUAGGUUAAAGGUCAGUGUGACACAUAUGAGGUCAAAGGUCAAAUAGCUUUGUGUCUGCUACAUAUCUUGUAACCCCAUUUUCCAUACACUCAUAAAACUAGCAAUAAAUAUCAAGAAGACCUGUAUAGAACCCAGAUUAUUAGAUCCAAGGUCAAGGUUACACUUGAAUGUCAAAAUGAUGACAACAUUGACUUACCCUGCAUCAAAGCAGCGUCUGGGGGUAACAAUAGCUCUAGUUUAUCAUUUUUAGCGGACUAAAUUUGUAAUUGUAUCAACCAUUUGACAAAUAUUUCCUAAACCUUAGGAUAAAUAUUUAAAACAAAAAUCAGGAAAUUGUUUGGUUUUUUUAACACUGAUACAGUCGGACUAUUUUUAGACACAGCGAAUAUUUAGCUUGAUUUGUUGCCAGUCAUGAUUUCAUGCAAGGUAUUUUUCUAAAUGAUAUUUUUAUUACAAAUACAAAAUGUAGCACAUUUGACAUUAAUGUAAAAAAUCAGGCACAGCGAAUUUUGUAAGAAAAAAAUAUAGUUGGUUAAAUAUUUUAAAAAGUGUCUCAAAUUUUUGCUCUUUUGAACAGUUGCGUUUUAACUGGUCAGGGAUUGUUUCAAAAUAAAUAUGCGUAGUUUAGUUGAUGUAUAAAAAGCUACUUUUCGCAACUUGUACAUUUUGGAGUGGGGGCUAAAUUCCAAACCCUCAUAUACUUUAAAACAUAUAGAGGACAUUCCUUUGUUUUAGUGUAAGCUCGAAACAGAAACAUUCUAGUGUUCACACGUGAAAAUUUUUAAAAAGUAAUCACACGGAUUUUAUUCUAAUGCAUAUUAUUAUUAUUUUUAUUUUAUAUUUUCUGCCAACGUAAUGCCAUACGCUAUGUGCAACGUAACUCUACAUUUUAUGGCAAUACUAAUGUUGGAAAAAAAGUGACAUAAUGACAUUUCAAUCUACAUGUAGUUAUGUUUUAGUUAAAAAGAUAUCCGAUUCUACGUUAUUUAUAUUCUUGCGUUAAAUUGUUGUUACAUACAAGUAAAACUUGUAUUUGGAUUUCUCACCUUUUAAGAGCGGCUUUAUCAGGGUAUAAUGCAUCGUUGUUUUCUUAAAACCUUCUCAAAAUAUGGUAUAUAAUUCCAUAUACUAGUAACUUCAGAAUGUACCGAUAAGACCUUAAUUCUAUUCUUUUAUUCAAAUCCGCAUUCUUGACCUUUGUCUUGGUCAUCUAAAUGUUGCUUUUAAAAGUCAUUUUGGUCUCAUUUUUGUACACUGAAUUUUACACACUGUUUGGCAUAACUUUUAACCAACACCUAACUCUGAGCACUAACCUUAACAAUUCGGGGCUGAAGUGACUGUUAAAGCAACUUUGUCUUUUAUGGGAAAAAGACUAGCAUAUCUUUAUAAAUGAUGGGUAAAAGUGUUGGCAAACUUUCAGGUUUUUAGUCUACGCUUUUAAUGAACUACUGUAAUAUAACGUUAGAUUAUAACAUGAUAAAUUCAUUGUUUUAAACAGAGAGAAAUCCAAAUAUGAUGUUUACUAGAACGUAACUACACUUGAACGCGAAAGGAUAUGAAUUGUAAGGACGUGAAAUAUGCUUAAAAGCAACAAAGUUGUAGCAAACACGAAUAUACACGAGAAAGUCAUUGAAAUAUAAAACAUUCUUAUACAUAUCUUAGACCUAUUGGAACUCAUUUUCCAACAUAAGCAUUGUGACGUCAUAAAAUAUAUCGUUACGUUACCCCUGACGCAUGUCUUACCUGGCAGAAUAAGAAAUGAUAAUAUGAAAAAUAAUUAGUUUAACUCAACAAGACAUAAAGCAAUUCAACAUUUAUGUGUACAAUUUUGUUAAAAUUGUUAGAAGUAAAAAAUUAGAUAUGAAUGUUUCAUAAUAAAUUAUUUUCACUUGGGAACGCCAGAUUUAUGUUCACUCGGUGCUGAAAUAAACGAAUGUCUUCUAUAUCUUUUACAAUAGCAAAUGGGUAAAACUUAAGGUGACAGAAAUAACUAAAACGAUCCCUUUCCAUUUUUAAAUGACAUCAUUUCAUUUUUGGUGAAAAUAUUGUCUGUUAUACUGAUUUAUUAAUGAUAUACAUUUUGUACCUUGUAUUAUAGUAACGUAGAUACUUUAAAAUAUAAUUCCAAGCUUACAAUAUUUGUAUCCCCCGACAACAAAGUUGUAAGGGGUGGGGUAUACUGGUUUCAGGUUGUCUGUCUGUCUGUCUGUCUGUCCGUAGACGCA